CCAGCGGCGGGGCUAUCUGCAGUCGACGAGUUCUGAUUAUUGAAAGGUGCUUGCAUCUUGAUUUAAUUCUGAACGAGUGGCGGACGGGUGAGUAACACGUGGGUAACCUGCCCUUAAGUGGGGGAUAACAUUUGGAAACAGAUGCUAAUACCGCAUAAAUCCAAGAACCGCAUGGUUCUUGGCUGAAAGAUGGCGUAAGCUAUCGCUUUUGGAUGGACCCGCGGCGUAUUAGCUAGUUGGUGAGGUAACGGCUCACCAAGGCAAUGAUACGUAGCCGAACUGAGAGGUUGAUCGGCCACAUUGGGACUGAGACACGGCCCAAACUCCUACGGGAGGCAGCAGUAGGGAAUCUUCCACAAUGGACGCAAGUCUGAUGGAGCAACGCCGCGUGAGUGAAGAAGGCUUUCGGGUCGUAAAACUCUGUUGUUGGAGAAGAAUGGUCGGCAGAGUAACUGUUGUCGGCGUGACGGUAUCCAACCAGAAAGCCACGGCUAACUACGUGCCAGCAGCCGCGGUAAUACGUAGGUGGCAAGCGUUAUCCGGAUUUAUUGGGCGUAAAGCGAGCGCAGGCGGUUUUUUAAGUCUGAUGUGAAAGCCCUCGGCUUAACCGAGGAAGUGCAUCGGAAACUGGGAAACUUGAGUGCAGAAGAGGACAGUGGAACUCCAUGUGUAGCGGUGAAAUGCGUAGAUAUAUGGAAGAACACCAGUGGCGAAGGCGGCUGUCUGGUCUGUAACUGACGCUGAGGCUCGAAAGCAUGGGUAGCGAACAGGAUUAGAUACCGGGGUAAGUCCAAAA
rnacentral:rRNA from 2 species